CCUCUCUCAGGGUGGCAGCUGGAGAGUUUCCAGUACUCCACCAGUCUCGACUAUGGGAGGGAGAGUCAAGCAGAGGCCUGUCCAUUCCAUUCCUAGCUUGGCCAGUGGUUAGCAAGUGGAAGACAAUCAGCUACAAGU
rnacentral:snoRNA from 1 species